AUACGUAGGGGGCGAGCGUUGCUCGGAUUCACUGGGCGUAAAGCGGGCGUAGGCGGCCGGCCAAGUCGGGCGUGAAAUUCCGGGGCUCAACCUCGGAACUGCGCUCGAUACUGGUCGGCUAGAGUUCGGGAGAGGGUAGCGGAAUUCCGUGUGUAGCGGUGAAAUGCGUAGAGAUACGGAGGAACACCGGAGGCGAAGGCGGCUACCUGGACCGGCACUGACGCUGAGGCCCGAAAGCGUGGGGAGCAAACAGGAUUAGAAACCCUAGUAGUCC
rnacentral:rRNA from 1 species